rnacentral:rRNA from 1 species
UAGACCCGAAACCCGGUGAUCUAGCCAUGGGCAGGUUGAAGGUUGGGUAACACUAACUGGAGGACCGAACCGACUAAUGUUGAAAAAUUAGCGGAUGACCUGUGGCUGGGGGUGAAAGGCCAAUCAAACCGGGAGAUAGCUGGUUCUCCCCGAAAGCUAUUUAGGUAGCGCCUCGUGAAUUCAUCUCCGGGGGUAGAGCACUGUUUCGGCUAGGGGGCCAUCCCGGCUUACCAACCCGAUGCAAACUGCGAAUACCGGAGAAUGUUAUCACGGGAGACACACGGCGGGUGCUAACGUCCGUCGUGAAGAGGGAAACAACCCAGACCGCCAGCUAAGGUCCCAAAGUCAUGGUUAAGUGGGAAACGAUGUGGGAAGGCCCAGACAGCCAGGAUGUUGGCUUAGAAGCAGCCAUCAUUUAAAGAAAGCGUAAUAGCUCACUGGUCGAGUCGGCCUGCGCGGAAGAUGUAACGGGGCUAAACCAUGCACCGAAGCUGCGGCAGCGAACGUAUCACCCAAGACAACUUUACGGAGUUGACGAUUGACGGAGCGAAGCGACGUCAAAGCGUUCAUUAAAGUCGAGUUGGCUUAGGGAUACGUUCGUUGGGUAGGGGAGCGUUCUGUAAGCCUGUGAAGGUGUGUCGUGAGGCAUGCUGGAGGUAUCAGAAGUGCGAAUGCUGACAUAAGUAACGAUAAAGCGGGUGAAAAGCCCGCUCGCCGGAAGACCAAGGGUUCCUGUCCAACGUUAAUCGGGGCAGGGUGAGUCGACCCCUAAGGCGAGGCCGAAAGGCGUAGUCGAUGGGAAACGGGUUAAUAUUCCCGUACUUGGUGUUACUGCGAAGGGGGGACGGAGAAGGCUAUGUUGGCCGGGCGACGGUUGUCCCGGUUUAAGCGUGUAGGUGUGUGUUCCAGGUAAAUCCGGUUCACUUUAACACUGAGGCGUGACGACGAGGCACUACGGUGCUGAAGCAACAAAUGCCCUGCUUCCAGGAAAAGCCUCUAAGCAUCAGGUAACACGAAAUCGUACCCCAAACCGACACAGGUGGUCAGGUAGAGAAUACCAAGGCGCUUGAGAGAACUCGGGUGAAGGAACUAGGCAAAAUGGUGCCGUAACUUCGGGAGAAGGCACGCUGACACGUAGGUGAAGUGAUUUACUCAUGGAGCUGAAGUCAGUCGAAGAUACCAGCUGGCUGCAACUGUUUAUUAAAAACACAGCACUGUGCAAACACGAAAGUGGACGUAUACGGUGUGACGCCUGCCCGGUGCCGGAAGGUUAAUUGAUGGGGUCAGCGUAAGCGAAGCUCCUGAUCGAAGCCCCGGUAAACGGCGGCCGUAACUAUAACGGUCCUAAGGUAGCGAAAUUCCUUGUCGGGUAAGUUCCGACCUGCACGAAUGGCGUAAUGAUGGCCAGGCUGUCUCCACCCGAGACUCAGUGAAAUUGAACUCGCUGUGAAGAUGCAGUGUACCCGCGGCAAGACGGAAAGACCCCGUGAACCUUUACUAUAGCUUGACACUGAACAUUGAGCCUUGAUGUGUAGGAUAGGUGGGAGGCUUUGAAGUGUGGACGCCAGUCUGCAUGGAGCCGACCUUGAAAUACCACCCUUUAAUGUUUGAUGUUCUAACGUGGACCCGUAA